AAAUUGAAGAGUUUGAUCAUGGCUCAGAUUGAACGCUGGCGGCAGGCCUAACACAUGCAAGUCGAGCGGUAGCACAGAGAGCUUGCUCUCGGGUGACGAGCGGCGGACGGGUGAGUAAUGUCUGGGAAACUGCCUGAUGGAGGGGGAUAACUACUGGAAACGGUAGCUAAUACCGCAUAACGUCGCAAGACCAAAGUGGGGGACCUUCGGGCCUCAUGCCAUCAGAUGUGCCCAGAUGGGAUUAGCUAGUAGGUGGGGUAACGGCUCACCUAGGCGACGAUCCCUAGCUGGUCUGAGAGGAUGACCAGCCACACUGGAACUGAGACACGGUCCAGACUCCUACGGGAGGCAGCAGUGGGGAAUAUUGCACAAUGGGCGCAAGCCUGAUGCAGCCAUGCCGCGUGUGUGAAGAAGGCCUUCGGGUUGUAAAGCACUUUCAGCGGGGAGGAAGGCGUUAAGGUUAAUAACCUUGGCGAUUGACGUUACCCGCAGAAGAAGCACCGGCUAACUCCGUGCCAGCAGCCGCGGUAAUACGGAGGGUGCAAGCGUUAAUCGGAAUUACUGGGCGUAAAGCGCACGCAGGCGGUCUGUCAAGUCGGAUGUGAAAUCCCCGGGCUCAACCUGGGAACUGCAUUCGAAACUGGCAGGCUAGAGUCUUGUAGAGGGGGGUAGAAUUCCAGGUGUAGCGGUGAAAUGCGUAGAGAUCUGGAGGAAUACCGGUGGCGAAGGCGGCCCCCUGGACAAAGACUGACGCUCAGGUGCGAAAGCGUGGGGAGCAAACAGGAUUAGAUACCCUGGUAGUCCACGCCGUAAACGAUGUCGAUUUGGAGGUUGUGCCCUUGAGGCGUGGCUUCCGGAGCUAACGCGUUAAAUCGACCGCCUGGGGAGUACGGCCGCAAGGUUAAAACUCAAAUGAAUUGACGGGGGCCCGCACAAGCGGUGGAGCAUGUGGUUUAAUUCGAUGCAACGCGAAGAACCUUACCUGGUCUUGACAUCCACAGAACUUAGCAGAGAUGCUUUGGUGCCUUCGGGAACUGUGAGACAGGUGCUGCAUGGCUGUCGUCAGCUCGUGUUGUGAAAUGUUGGGUUAAGUCCCGCAACGAGCGCAACCCUUAUCCUUUGUUGCCAGCGGU
rnacentral:rRNA from 1 species